ACUAUUUUGGCAGAUUAGUGCUAUAAAUUUAGAAUUUAUAUAUAAAAAUUGAAGUUUUUAAAUAGUA
rnacentral:tRNA from 1 species